rnacentral:lncRNA from 14 species
CGUCACGGCCGGGCGCGGGGGGCCGCGGCCAUCGGCGGCGCCCGGCCCCGGGGCGGUCGCGGGAGCCGGGGAAGAAAUGCGAAGAGCGACGAAAAAAGUCUCGAGAGCCCGAGCGCGGGCGGCUUUUUCCCCCGGCCGCCGCCUCCUUUUUGACCCAGUGGACCCUGGAGCCCAUUCCCAUCCUGCACAGCAAGAGCAGCCCAUUGCUGGCCCAGGACACCCAUGAUUCAGAUGCACCAUCCCGACAAAGCAAACAUCAGCUUCUAGUUCAAGUUGGUCAAGAUUUACCCAACAAAAACCCUGAUGGGAAACAGAGAAGUUCAGAAAGGUAA